UAUACGGCCCAGACUCCUACGGGAGGCAGCAGUGGGGAAUAUUGCACAAUGGGCGCAAGCCUGAUGCAGCGACGCCGCGUGCGGGAUGACGGCCUUCGGGUUGUAAACCGCUUUUGACUGGGAGCAAGCCCUUCGGGGUGAGUGUACCUUUCGAAUAAGCACCGGCUAACUACGUGCCAGCAGCCGCGGUAAUACGUAGGGUGCAAGCGUUAUCCGGAAUUAUUGGGCGUAAAGGGCUCGUAGGCGGUUCGUCGCGUCCGGUGUGAAAGUCCAUCGCUUAACGGUGGAUCCGCGCCGGGUACGGGCGGGCUUGAGUGCGGUAGGGGAGACUGGAAUUCCCGGUGUAACGGUGGAAUGUGUAGAUAUCGGGAAGAACACCAAUGGCGAAGGCAGGUCUCUGGGCCGUCACUGACGCUGAGGAGCGAAGCGUGGGGAGCGAACAGGAUUAGAUACCCUGGUAGUCCACGCCGUAAACGGUGGAUGCUGGAUGUGGGGACCAUUCCACGGUCUCCGUGUCGGAGCCAACGCGUUAAGCAUCCCGCCUGGGGAGUACGGCCGCAAGGCUAAAACUCAAAGAAAUUGACGGGGGCCCGCACAAGCGGCGGAGCAUGCGGAUUAAUUCGAUGCAACGCGAAGAACCUUACCUGGGCUUGACAUGUUCCCGACAGCCGUAGAGAUACGGUCUCCCUUCGGGGCGGGUUCACAGGUGGUGCAUGGUCGUCGUCAGCUCGUGUCGUGAGAUGUUGGGUUAAGUCCCGCAACGAGCGCAACCCUCGCCCUGUGUUGCCAGCACGUCGUGGUGGGAACUCACGGGGGACCGCCGGGGUCAACUCGGAGGAAGGUGGGGAUGACGUCAGAUCAUCAUGCCCCUUACGUCCAGGGCUUCACGCAUGCUACAAUGGCCGGUACAACGGGAUGCGACCUCGUGAGGGGGAGCGGAUCCCUUAAAACCGGUCUCAGUUCGGAUUGGAGUCUGCAACCCGACUCCAUGAAGGCGGAGUCGCUAGUAAUCGCGGAUCAGCAACGCCGCGGUGAAUGCGUUCCCGGGCCUUGUACACACCGCCCGUCAAGUCAUGAAAGUGGGUAGCGCCCGAAGCCGGUGGCCCAACCUUUUUGGGGGGAGCCGUCUAAGGUGAGACUCGUGAUUGGGACUAAGUCGUAACAAGGUAGCCGUACCGGAAGGCGCGGCUG
rnacentral:rRNA from 1 species